UAGGCCCCGGGUUCCUAUCACCUCUGGCUUUCGUCCCCUCCGGGUUGUCUUCCUCUCCUCCUUCCUCUUCCUUCUCCAUGUCGGCCGAUGCUGCUGCUCCCCUCAAAAUUAGGGCAGCAAGGGCGCCGCCGCCGAUGCCUCCCCUGAACCCCCCUCGAUCCCUUCCUCUCCAAGCUGGCCGAAGCGGCUGCUGCCGCACCCGACUCUUUGGCUUUGGCGUCGUCCGGCAAUCGCGACAUGCCGCCCUACCUCGAUCUCUUUGCCUCCCCGACGCUCAUGGCUAGUCCAGCACAGGUAGAACGUUCUGUUUCUUAUAAUGAACAUGACCAAGAACACCUCCCCCAGAUUUGCCGUCAUUACUUCUUCAUGGACGAGUUGUCUACAUUGGCAUGCCGGUUUCAUUUUUUCUGACUAUCCAAUCUUCUAUGGAGCAUUAAUUAUAAUAUUAUAGUUCUCAGGUCAAUCUUUGCACUUCUACAACUUCAUCCUUAUUCCUUGGAAUUUUUAUUUACUAUUAUACC